GGACUACAAGGGUAUCUAAUCCUGUUUGCUCCCCACGCUUUCGCGUCUCAGCGUCAGUUACCGUCCAGGUGGCCGCCUUCGCCACUGGUGUUCCUCCCGAUAUCUACGAAUUUCACCUCUACACCGGGAAUUCCGCCACCCUCUCCGGCACUCAAGCUUGAUAGUUUUGGGCGCACUUCCUCGGUUAAGCCGAGGGCUUUCACACCCAACUUGCCAAGCCGCCUACACGCGCUUUACGCCCAAUAAUUCCGAACAACGCUCGCACCCUCUGUAUUACCGCGGCUGCUGGCAC
rnacentral:rRNA from 1 species